UACGAAGGGGGCUAGCGUUGCUCGGAAUCACUGGGCGUAAAGCGCACGUAGGCGGAUUGUUAAGUCAGGGGUGAAAUCCUGGAGCUCAACUCCAGAACUGCCUUUGAUACUGGCGAUCUCGAGUCCGGGAGAGGUGAGUGGAACUGCGAGUGUAGAGGUGAAAUUCGUAGAUAUUCGCAAGAACACCAGUGGCGAAGGCGGCUCACUGGCCCGGUAUGACGCUGAGGUGCGAAAGCGUGGGGAGCAAACAGGAUUAGAAACCCGGUGAG
rnacentral:rRNA from 1 species